AUUUUUUUCUUCAAAUUACUACUUACCUGAUCAUCUGGUUCUAUAAACCAAGCCCUAAUUCUUCCAAUUUUUCAAUUCAUUCCAAAAAUACUCCCCCAAAUCAAGAACCCGGCCUAGAUUCCAUGGUUUCGAGGAAAAAAGAAUCCGAAGGGAUUGCCUUGCUAUCCAUGUACGACGACGAAGACGACGAAGAUGACGAAGAGAUGGGAGACAUCGAAGAAGGUGAACAAGAACCAAACCAACAAGCUGGGGAACAAGAAGAGGAGGAAGAAGAAGAGCGGCAACCUUUAGAAGAAGAAAACGAGUAUGGAGAAUCAAUUAACAAUAUGGAAGACGAUUCGAGAACUAACUAUAAUACGCCGCUGUUUCCUCACCAAAGCACAUCUCUUCCGCAACAACAGCAGGAGCCUUCCGUUUCUUCGCCCCAGAAACAUCAACUUGUGGUUUCUUCGAAGAGAAGUAGAGGAGGAAGGAAAGGGAUUUAGGAAGUAAUUAUGACCUUAUGAUUGGUAUAGAGCACCAAAAUGCCAAUGGUGUUUUUCAAGGAAUAACGCUUCCGGCAGCUGUUCAAUUGACUCCACAAUCAUCGGAUUUAGAACGGAUACAGCCUGAGGUCUUAUGCUAAUAGUGAAUCAGAAGGUGUAGAAGUCGAAGAAGCAGUUUCCAUAGACAAUGUUGAUCCCUUGGAUAAGUUUCUUCCUCCUCCACCAAAAGCCAAAUGCUCAGAGGAGCUACAAAGGAAAAUAGAUAAAUUUCUCAGCUUGAAGCGAGUUUUGUUGGACAAGAAAACAAAACAUAUAAAAGGAGUCAAAUGAUGAACUUCUUGGAAGCACUGGUGUUGGAAGUGCAGGGUAAAUCUGAGCUGGGUUUUGAUAUCUUUUGGAUGUUAGGAAAGUUGGGAGCGUUGUUUGCAUCAAUACCUUUCACCAUAUUUGCUGCUGUGUAUUGCGUUUCGUUUGGUUACAUCGGUAUCAACACCUUUCACCGUAGGACUAUUAUUUACUAUAUUGUGUUGCAUUGCUUCUGACUAUGGCUCUAAUUGCUUUCCGCUUCCGUGGGGCUAUCAUUCUUGCAAUUGACCAACAUGAACUCCUUGAGAAACCUUUUUAUCUUUGGCGUCGCAUUGUCUUAGGUUUGUCGGUUCCCGAGUACUUUAGAGAAUAAACUGCCAAGGCUCUACACGGUCCUGCUGAUACCAGGGCUGGAUGGACAACACUUGACUAUAAAGACAAGGCCAGAGAUAGAGGAAUGCCAUGGUGGGCUAGUUUCCGAUCAUUCAAAGGUGAUUGCCGGAGUGAAGAGUUUUAUACACUCCCCUUCAUAGAUCAUCAUCAACAACAACAGUCGGUCGUUUGUAUAUUUUGGCUUGGAUUAUUUAGGUUUAAUCCGACAUCAAUUCGUUAUGCUUCGCACUAGUAAGGAUCGGUUAUUAAAUUAAAUUCUUUAUUAGGUGUAAUCUUGGCUUGCUGCUAGCUCUGACAGUGUUUGCAACAGUGACUUUGCACGAACUCUGUGAAUCAAUGUGCAAUGCACCUUUUGCCUUUGAGGAAUAUGAUAGUAUGUACAUUUUUCUAGCAAAACUGGGAAAAAUUACACUUGAGUCAAAGGAAUGAAACAAUAGAGCAGCAAGAACGAGUGCAGCUUCUUGGGUGUCAAAGGACAACUUCCCAACUUCUGCAACUCCACCAGAGAAACAAACCUACAAGCACCGGUGGUAGAAAGCUUGUAGAACCAUACCGAGUUCUUGGAGCGCUUGAUGAGCAGAGGUAUUUGGAUGAGCCUCUUGCAAGUUGCAACAUUGUCCUCUUCGGAUGAAAUAACGGGAGCUAAAUCUCGGAGCAGUUGUUUAUCCAACUGACGUUCGGCGGCAUCAUAUUUGAAUAUGUUGCCACCUGAUAUACUAGAAGGUUUUAUCUUGCAUUAGUUAAACAUGCAAAGAAAAUGCCACACUGCAGAUCAGGAGGUAAUGGAUCAAAGCUGAGACGGUUACCGAAUCCGAGGAAGUGAACAACUUUGUUCUUUGCAAGGAGGGGAAGUACUGUGCCGACAUAACCGUUAAGCUUUGCUUCCUUUGGUUUAUCUGCAUCAGUCAUCUGUAUUGAGGUUAACAGAAAACGGAACGCGAGAUUGGAUGUAUGAAAGCGAGAUUGGAUGUUUUAGACUUUCAAUGCAAUGCGGAAACUUAGAAGACAACUUAUAAGGCAUACCAAUGGCUUCAAUAUCUAAGGAAUUUAAAUGUGGAUGAAGUUCCGGCACAAUAUGUACAUCAUCCUUCGACAUAUCUUGGAUUUUAGUGUAGAAGUAACAUAUUCGGAUCCAUUU